GUUCUUGUAGUUGAGCAGCCAACGAUGGCUUUUUCAGGGC
rnacentral:tRNA from 1 species